GAUGAACGCUGGCGGCGUGCCUAAUACAUGCAAGUCGAGCGAACGGACGAGAAGCUUGCUUCUCUGAUGUUAGCGGCGGACGGGUGAGUAACACGUGGAUAACCUACCUAUAAGACUGGGAUAACUUCGGGAAACCGGAGCUAAUACCGGAUAAUAUUUUGAACCGCAUGGUUCAAAAGUGAAAGACGGUCUUGCUGUCACUUAUAGAUGGAUCCGCGCUGCAUUAGCUAGUUGGUAAGGUAACGGCUUACCAAGGCAACGAUGCAUAGCCGACCUGAGAGGGUGAUCGGCCACACUGGAACUGAGACACGGUCCAGACUCCUACGGGAGGCAGCAGUAGGGAAUCUUCCGCAAUGGGCGAAAGCCUGACGGAGCAACGCCGCGUGAGUGAUGAAGGUCUUCGGAUCGUAAAACUCUGUUAUUAGGGAAGAACAUAUGUGUAAGUAACUGUGCACAUCUUGACGGUACCUAAUCAGAAAGCCACGGCUAACUACGUGCCAGCAGCCGCGGUAAUACGUAGGUGGCAAGCGUUAUCCGGAAUUAUUGGGCGUAAAGCGCGCGUAGGCGGUUUUUUAAGUCUGAUGUGAAAGCCCACGGCUCAACCGUGGAGGGUCAUUGGAAACUGGAAAACUUGAGUGCAGAAGAGGAAAGUGGAAUUCCAUGUGUAGCGGUGAAAUGCGCAGAGAUAUGGAGGAACACCAGUGGCGAAGGCGACUUUCUGGUCUGUAACUGACGCUGAUGUGCGAAAGCGUGGGGAUCAAACAGGAUUAGAUACCCUGGUAGUCCACGCCGUAAACGAUGAGUGCUAAGUGUUAGGGGGUUUCCGCCCCUUAGUGCUGCAGCUAACGCAUUAAGCACUCCGCCUGGGGAGUACGACCGCAAGGUUGAAACUCAAAGGAAUUGACGGGGACCCGCACAAGCGGUGGAGCAUGUGGUUUAAUUCGAAGCAACGCGAAGAACCUUACCAAAUCUUGACAUCCUUUGACAACUCUAGAGAUAGAGCCUUCCCCUUCGGGGGACAAAGUGACAGGUGGUGCAUGGUUGUCGUCAGCUCGUGCCGUGAGAUGUUGGGUUAAGUCCCGCAACGAGCGCAACCCUUAAGCUUAGUUGCCAUCAUUAAGUUGGGCACUCUAAGUUGACUGCCGGUGACAAACCGGAGGAAGGUGGGGAUGACGUCAAAUCAUCAUGCCCCUUAUGAUUUGGGCUACACACGUGCUACAAUGGACAAUACAAAGGGCAGCGAGACCGCGAGGUCAAGCAAAUCCCAUAAAGUUGUUCUCAGUUCGGAUUGUAGUCUGCAACUCGACUACAUGAAGCUGGAAUCGCUAGUAAUCGUAGAUCAGCAUGCUACGGUGAAUACGUUCCCGGGUCU
rnacentral:rRNA from 1 species